UACGUAGGGGGCAAGCGUUGUCCGGAUUUAUUGGGCGUAAAGAGCUCGUAGGUGGUUCGGUAAGUCGGAUGUGAAAUCUCCAGGCUCAACCUGGAGGGGUCAUUCGAUACUGCCGUGACUAGAGUUCGGUAGGGGAGUGGAAUUCCUGGUGGAGCAGUGAAAUGCGUAGAUAUCAGGAGGAACACCAACGGCGAAGGCAGCUAGCUGGACGAGAUCCGACGCUCAGGCUCGAAAGUAUGGGGAGCAAAAAGG
rnacentral:rRNA from 1 species